GUAGGUGAACCUGCGGAAGGAUCAUUACAACGUAUCCACGUAUCAACCAACUGUGAACCUCCCAUUCGGAGCAAAACUUAGUGUGUCGUUCAUGACUGAACUGUAAAGCGGUACUUUCUCAGAUGGAGAGUCGGAUCUAAACAAUCUGGCUCAUGAAAGUUCCCGUUCGGUCGUCAGCUUCUCGAAGCUGAGGCGUCCUUUUGCUUUGAAUGCGGUAAAUGUCCGCCCAUCUGCGGUCGCCAAUUGUUUUACCCUUUUUCAUUAACCCUUUGUAACUUCAUUUGAACUGAACUAUGUAACAUUGACUGCGGCUGUUCUUGUUGGCUUCGGUCACGAGCAGUAUUCAAACGCGGGCUUGUUAUCACAUAUUACGAAACGCACGAACAACUCUUAACAACGGAUAUCUUGGUUCUC
rnacentral:misc_RNA from 1 species